GGGGUGGGGGAAUGGGCUGGAUACUUCUGAGGGCGUGGAAGCAUAAAGGGAAAUAGAUUUGGUGUGAUUUUGAGCUUUGUGGGCAUCGAGUCUAGGAUUUCAGUACGGAGUGUAGACAGGAUUUGGGGGCUUGGUGGAGGGUGGGAAAUGAAGGUCCAGGACUCUGGGAGUAGAAAAGGAGGUCAAGAAGGGAUCAUUAGGUCAUGGAGGGGUCAGGACACCAUUAGAAGAUGUGAGGCUGGGUAUGGAGGGGCAAGUAAAGCUGGGCAGAACUAAGGAGGGAAAUCCCACGUGGGACCCUGCAUUCUGGGCUGGGUGUGGGCAGAAGGCAUCUGUGAGGGGCCUGGGAGCUAGUGAUGGAACCUUGAGACAUUGAGGAUCGGUUAGGGAGUGUGUAGGUGGGAAGACCAUGAGUUGCAUUAGAGAUAGGUGAUGUGGCUUUUCUCUGACACUGACUGCCUUGGGCUGAGUGUUUCAGAAGGGGCAGUGUUGGUGUGAAUGGGACCUGGUACAAGGGAGGAGACCCGGACAUCCAAUGAAGGGAUAGGUAGACAGGUUCUCUGGAAACUGAUGGUGAUUGAACAGGUCCAUAACGCAAAGGGUCCCCAGAGGAUGCAGGCUGGGACUCAGUUUGUAGAACAUAGAGGGCUCCCUCGGGAGGCCUAGGUUUUGUUGGAGGGAGUGAAGGGCAGAGGUAAGAUAUGGUCCUCCCUGGUAAUAUGGAAGAGAAAGAGAGGAGUCCUCAGGGUGUCUGAGGGGUGGUGUCAGAGUGAAGAGACAAGUCAGACGGGAGGGGAGGUAUGGAGAGAGAGGCCUAGAGGGUGGUGAGGGUGGUGUAGUUCCCUAAACUCUGGGAGCCCAGCACAGGGUAUCCCCAGGGGCCAGUGGGUGGUGGGUGGGGCUCACCCGUCAGCAGUUCCGGCUCUCGGCCGCGGUGGACCAGCAGGCUGAGCUGCAGCACCAGCUGCGGCGCGCUGCGCAGGAAGGUCUCCAGCAGACGCAGCAUGCUCACGUCCGCGCUCUCGAACAGCAUCCGCCAGUAGAAGUGGCGCCGCAACCGCUCCCCUCGCCAGCGGCUCUGCAGCCCCAGGUACAGGGCGCGCAGGUACCUGCGGAGAGGUGGUACUCAGCUCUAGGCGCCUCCCCUGCGGAGAGGUGGUACUCAGCUCUAGGCGCCUCCGGCUUCUUGUUUUCCCUACCCCAGCUUCCCGCCUGAGCCGGAGCAAGUCCCCCACCUCCAGGACCAACUUUACUGUGACUGUAAAAUAGGCUCUGCUAGGCGUGGUUGCAGAGCACUGAGUACACCCUGUUAGCUUCUCUCCUAGUCCUAUCCUCAUCUGCAGUUUAGAGGAAGGAAUUGGGAGCCAGAGACCAUAGCAUUUACCCAAGGUCACACAGCGGAACCAGAACUCAAUUCCAGGUAGUAACGAACAGACCACAUCGCUUCUUACUGGGAACUUUGAAGAGUUUUGUUCAUGGGUUUCCUAUAUGGAUCACAGCUGGUGCCAGGCCAGAGUCCUGACCCACUCACUCCUCCUGGCCUCAGGAAAGCUGCUCACCCAACAAACUUCAUGGUUGCUUGGCAGAGGCCACGGAUUCCAGGACAUUUACUAGUCCUCCUCACCACCCAGCUUUUACACCUCUACUGCUCCUUUUACCUGGAACCCACCUCCCGUCCCCACUCCAUUCUCAAACCUGGGGCUGUGCCCACUAUGUGCACCGCAGUCACCAGAAUGAAGAUCCCAAAGGCAAGAGGACAGAAUACUGGCUGGGAAUCCCACUGCACUCUACACCCUGCUCCGUUUGAAAGUUGAAAGAAGCAGAUGUCACCAUGGAUGGGACUGAACACCCACACAGGAUACCCCACCUCAAGGCAAAGAAACUAGACUUGUUUUUCUUCCAAAACGCAUCCAGUGCUAUUCCCAAUCACCUCUCGGGUGGGCACCACUGAUUGGUACAAGCGCCUGUCAUCUCUUGCCAGGACAACCACAUCAGCCUUUCCUCUUCAGUGGGUCUCCUCCUCCAUCCGCUCCUGCCCCCUACAGUCUGUUCCCUGCAUAGCAACCAGCGGGGAAUUCUUAAAGGCCUACAGAUCUGGUCACUCACUCACUCUGUGGAAGCCUUCACGGGCCUCUUAUCACACUUGGAAGGAAACCCAAGCUUCUCCCAACCAUCUGGCCUGCUCUUCCUCUCACUCUAUCUCAAACCACUGUCUGCUUGCUCUCCACACCCCAGCUGCAGCAGGAGUUCCCUGCCAGACUCACUCCAGACUCAGGGCUUCUGCACCCGCUGUGUGCUUCCCAGAUCCUGCUCUGCCUGGCUCCUCAUGGGCUCCCUAACACAUUCUUAGAGGAGGCCACCCAUCCCACAUUGGCACCUCCUACCUCCAAGGUUCAUUCUAGUCCAUCCUAUCCCUGCCUUCCUUCUGGUCCUCCAGCCUUCAUCUCCCAAGUGCUGGGAUUGCAGGUGUGAGACGCCACAUCCUGUUUACGAAGCGCUGGGAUCAAUCCCAGGGCUUUGUGGAUGCUGUGUGAGCAUUCUGCCAACUGAGGUCCAUCCUCAGCCCCUAGACAGUUUCUUUCUAUUCUGUCACUGGUGCUCCAUGAGGCAGAGGCCUUGUUUGUAACAGUCACCAGAGUGUCCUCUGCUUUUGCGCAGGUAGAAGGCAGGGAUAAAUGUUGAAUAAACUGAUAAACAAGUCUUGUA